CAUACUUCUUCAUGAGCUCACCUAAUUGAUCUCCAUCAUAGUUGUCAAUUUGGGCAAGAAUAAACUCGUAUUCCUCAACAGUCUUGUCAUCCAGACGAGUCGCACGAAUUUCCUUUACCUUCUUCUUACGCUUCUUCUUGUCAUCAGAUUCUUCAGGCUGGUCAUUGGAAUUCUGCCCACGAGCUUCCUUGUCACCCUUCAAACGGGCUUCCAAAACCUCUUCAACCAAGUGGUCGGCACGAAAGAUUUCACCGGUAGCAGGGUCCUUACACAUCCAAUCUGCAAACUUAUCAACAUGCCCACUAGUCUUCAAAACUUCAUGAGGAGUAAGCAUGGAGCAAUCAACCUCCAGCAUGCUUUCUUCGAUAACAAAGUGCUUUCGCCAAAUAUCAACCAGAUUAGAUUGAAGUGCACUACCUGGUGGGCCAUAAUCAUACAAUCCACUAAUUCCACCAUAGAUUUGAAAAGAAGGAGAGAAGAAGAAUCUCUUCUUCAUUAACUCCUCGAACUGAGUUCGAUCAAAAGCUGCUGCCUUUGAAACUUCUGUCAUUUUUCUACUGAAAAUCCGUUUAGCAAAGGCUGUGCAAGAAGAACGAAACGCUUGAAAAGAAAUUAUGCAAGCAAGGA